rnacentral:misc_RNA from 1 species
CACCACUCAAGCCUCGCUUGGUAUUGGGCGAUAGGGCUUCCCUACGCCUCAAUUUCGCCGGCUGGACCGAAUGUAUCUCAGCGUUGUGACAUGAAAUUUCGCUGGAGGAACAGGAGGUUCGCGGCCGCAAACAACUCGGACAUGCCGACUUUUAAUGGGAAGCGGCGAGAAAAGUCCAACUAGG